AAAGUUUCCUUCGGGAGAUGAGUAGAGUGGCGCACGGGUGAGUAACACGUAGGUAAUCUACCUUCGGGUGGGGAAUAACCCAGGGAAACUUGGGCUAAUACCGCAUAAUGCAGCGGCACCACAUGGUGACAGUUGUUAAAGCGGGGGAUCUUCGGAUCUCGCGCCUGAAGAGGAGCCUGCGGCAGAUUAGCUAGUUGGUAAGGUAACGGCUUACCAAGGCGACGAUCUGUAGCCGGCCUGAGAGGGCGGUCGGCCACACUGACACUGACAUACGGGUCAGACUCCUACGGGAGGCAGCAGUCGGGAAUUUUGGGCAAUGGGCGAAAGCCUGACCCAGCAACGCCGCGUGAAGGAUGAAAUCCUUCGGGAUGUAAACUUCGCAAGAAUAGGAAGAAUUAGUAGGGGUUAAUACCCCCUAUGAUGACGGUACUAUUUGUAAGCUCCGGCUAACUCCGUGCCAGCAGCCGCGGUAAUACGGGGGGAGCAAGCGUUGUUCGGAUUUACUGGGCGUAAAGGGCGCGUAGGCGGUCAGCACAAGUCAGUUGUGAAAUCUCCGGGCUUAACUCGGAAAGGUCAACUGAUACUGUGCGACUAGAGUGCAGAAGGGGCAACUGGAAUUCUCGGUGUAGCGGUGAAAUGCGUAGAUAUCGAGAGGAACACCUGCGGCGAAGGCGGGUUGCUGGGCUGACACUGACGCUGAUGCGCGAAAGCCAGGGGAGCGAACGGGAUUAGAUACCCCGGUAGUCCUGGCCUUAAACGAUGGAUGCUUGGUGUCUGGAGUUUUAUAGUCUCCGGGUGCCGUAGCUAACGCGUUAAGCAU
rnacentral:rRNA from 1 species